AACGAACGCUGGCGGCAGGCCUAACACAUGCAAGUCGAACGAAGUCUUCGGACUUAGUGGCGGACGGGUUAGUAACGCGUGGGAACGUGCCCUUUACUUCGGAAUAGUCCCGGGAAACUGGGUUUAAUACCGAAUACGCCCUUUGGGGGAAAGAUUUAUCGGUAAAGGAUCGGCCCGCGUUGGAUUAGGUAGUUGGUGGGGUAAUGGCCUACCAAGCCGACGAUCCAUAGCUGGUUUGAGAGGAUGAUCAGCAACACUGGGACUGAGACACGGCCCAGACUCCUACGGGAGGCAGCAGUGAGGAAUCUUGGACAAUGGGGGAAACCCUGAUCCAGCCAUGCCACGUGAACGAUGAAGGCCUUAGGGUUGUAAAGUUCUUUCGCCUGGGAAGAUAAUGACGGUACCAGGUAAAGAAGCCCCGGCUAACUCCGUGCCAGCAGCCGCGGUAA
rnacentral:rRNA from 1 species